GAUGAACGCUAGCGAUAGGCUUAACACAUGCAAGUCGAGGGGCAGCAUGGUCUUAGCUUGCUAAGACUGAUGGCGACCGGCGCACGGGUGCGUAACGCGUAUGCAACUUGCCUCACAGAGGGGGAUAACCCGUCGAAAGACGGACUAAUACCGCGUACACUUGGGAUAGGGCAUCCUGACCCAAGGAAAUGAAAUUCGCUGUGAGAUAGGCAUGCGUCCCAUUAGCUAGUUGGUGAGGUAACGGCUCACCAAGGCGACGAUGGGUAGGGGAACUGAGAGGUUGAACCCCCACACUGGUACUGAGACACGGACCAGACUCCUACGGGAGGCAGCAGUGAGGAAUAUUGGUCAAUGGGCGAGAGCCUGAACCAGCCAAGUCGCGUGAAGGAUGACUGUCUUAUGGAUUGUAAACUUCUUUUAUACGGGAAUAACAAGAGUCACGUGUGGCUCCCUACAUGUACCGUAUGAAUAAGCAUCGGCUAACUCCGUG
rnacentral:rRNA from 1 species